rnacentral:lncRNA from 1 species
GGGGGCAAUGGGGGUAUUGGGGUCAAUGGGGGCUAUGGGGUCAAUGGGGGUAUUGGGGUCAAUGGGGGUAAUGGGGGCUAUGGGGUCAAUGGGGGAAUUGGGGGCAUUAGGGUCAAUGGGAUCAACAGCGUCAUUGUGACCAAUUGUGAAUCAAUGGGGUCAAUGGGAUCAAUGGGAGAAUUAGAGGCAAUAGGAUCAAUGGGGUCAAUGGGAUCAAUGGGAUCAUUAUGGUCAAUGGGGUCAAUGGGGUCAAUUGGGUCAAUGGGAUCAACGGGGACAAGGGGAUCAAAAGGCUCAAUGGGGUCAUUGGGGUCAAUAAGGCCAAUGGGAUCAAUGGAAACAAUGGGAUCAUCAUGGUCAAUGGGGUCAAUGGGAUCAAUGGGAUCAAUGUGAUCAAUGGAAUCAAUGGGGACAAUGGGAUCAAUGGGGUCAAUGGGAUCAAUGGGGUCAGUGGGGUCAACGGGAUCAAUGGAAUCAAUAGGGAUCAAUGGGGUCAAUGGGAUCAAUGGGGUCAAUGGAAUCAAUGGGAUCAAUGGGAUCAAUGGAAUCAAUGGAAUCAAUGGGAGUCAAUGGAAUCAAUGGGGCUCAAUGGGGCUCAAUGAAGCCCCCCCCCCCCCAUUACCUCCUGUAGCCCCCCAGGCCGUUCUCACUCCGUCCAUUGCUUUCAGUGGAGGGGGGGGGUCCACAUCUCCAUCAUGGGGGGGUCCCGACAGCCGCCCCCCCCCCUCCCCCCCCCCCCCCCCCCCCCCCCCCCCCGCCGCCAUUUUACCGCUGCGCUGCGCUCCGGGGGGGGGCGGGGCCGCGCGGGGGAUGCCGGGGAAAGGGGGCGGGGCUUCAUCUCCCAGCCGCCAUGUUGAUACCAUAUAUGGUAACGUGACCACGCCCUCUUUCCUUAUAUGGAGCGACAUGGGCGUGGUUUGCAUCUCAUUAUAUUUAGCCACGCCCCCUUGCGCUCUGAGCGCAGCCGUUGGUGGAGAAGAGUAGCCGGAAGUCCCGCCCACAAAGCCGGAUGUGGGAGACCGGAAGUGCUGCACAAAAGCGGAUAUCCGGUCUUCUGGGUGCCUCGAACCGGAAGUCCCGAGUUUUUGAGUGGAAAAACCGAAAAUCAGGCCCGGUUCGGUUCCAUCCAACCGGAACUAAGCCCUCAUAGGAGCAUAUAGAACCGGAAGUCUCCUUUGUGUGUGUUCCCCCCCCUCCGAGCUUCCGUUGUAGAUUGGCCCGCGAACCGGAAGUCCCACCCCCUGGAUUACCCGGAACCGGAAGUCUCAUCUUUCAUUGGUGCCCGGACCAACCGGAAGUCCCGCCCCCCGCCCUUCUAUCCAGAACCGGAAGUCCCGCCUCCUCUUACCCAGCACCGGAAGUUCCCAUGCACCCCCACUUCCUCCCCAAGACCGGAAGUCCCUCUCCCCAUUGAGCCAUCAAUUAUCUUCAAGACCGGAAGUCCCGCCCUCUUCUUAAUGUCCGCCAUCUUGUUUCCCCCCCUCCAACCCUGUUUAACAAUGGCGGCCAUCUUGUUCUCCAUCCACCCAACCAAUGGCGGCCAUCUUGUGCCCCCAUCCACCCAUAACCCCCCUAUAUAACGACCCUCCCCCAUUUAUGCCCCCCCAUAAGCCCCCCAAUUCAAGACCCCCCAUUAAACCCC